GACGAACGCUGGCGGCGUGCCUAAUACAUGCAAGUAGAACGCUGAAGGAGGAGCUUGCUCUUCUGGAUGAGUUGCGAACGGGUGAGUAACGCGUAGGUAACCAGCCUGGUAGCGGGGGAUAACUAUUGGAAACGAUAGCUAAUACCGCAUAAGAGUAGAUGUUGCAUGACAUUUACUUAAAAGGUGCAAUUGCAUCACUACCAGAUGGACCUGCGUUGUAUUAGCUAGUUGGUGGGGUAACGGCUUACCAAGGCGACGAUACAUAGCCGACCUGAGAGGGUGAUCGGCCACACUGGGACUGAGACACGGCCCAGACUCCUACGGGAGGCAGCAGUAGGGAAUCUUCGGCAAUGGACGGAAGUCUGACCGAGCAACGCCGCGUGAGUGAAGAAGGUUUUCGGAUCGUAAAGCUCUGUUGUAAGAGAAGAACGAGUGUGAGAGUGGAAAGUUCACACUGUGACGGUAUCUUACCAGAAAGGGACGGCUAACUACGUG
rnacentral:rRNA from 1 species